rnacentral:tRNA from 1 species
GCCGGGAUACCUAAGCGGCCAACAGGGCAUGACUGUAAAUCAUGUGGCUCACGCCUUCCCAGGUUCGAAUCCUGGUCCCGGCA